rnacentral:rRNA from 1 species
UAUUGGACAAUGGGCGCAAGCCUGAUCCAGCAAUGCCGCGUGUGUGAAGAAGGCCUGCGGGUUGUAAAGCACUUUAAGCAGGGAAGAAAAGUGGGGGGCUAAUACCCUCUCGCGUUGACGUUACCUGCAGAAUAAGCACCGGCUAACUCCGUGCCAGCAGCCGCGGUAAUACGGAGGGUGCGAGCGUUAAUCGGAAUUACUGGGCGUAAAGCGCGCGUAGGCGGUUUGUUAAGUCAGCUGUGAAAGCCCUGGGCUUAACCUGGGAACGGCAGUUGAUACUGGCAGGCUAGAGUGUGGUAGAGGGGUGUGGAAUUUCCGGUGUAGCAGUGAAAUGCGUAGAGAUCGGAAGGAACACCAGUGGCGAAGGCGGCACCCUGGACCAACACUGACGCUGAGGUGCGAAAGCGUGGGGAGCAAACAGGA